AAAAAAUUCACUCAAAUUGUUUUUUAUUUUAUUUUUCUAUAGAAACAACAUAUAACCUUUUUAUUGUUUAUCUUUCCCCCAAAUUUCCCAGAAUCGCAAAUCCUCCACCGAAUCGCAAAUCCUCCACCGAAUCGCAAAUAUGGAACCACAAACCCCUCCGCCGAAUCCCUAAUCGAAGACUUAAACCCCUUCGCCGUUCUCCUUCGUUCAAUUCGUCAAUUUCUCCGCCGUUUUCCUUUACUCCUCCGCCUUUCUCCACCGUUCUCCGCGGUUCUGAGGUAUCGAUUCAAUUGUUCUCUCUGUGAAUCAAAGAAGCCCCUUUGUGAGUUGUUCUUAUGGUCUCAAGUUAUGCUUUGUGUUUUUGUUUCUUUUAAUGGAUUUUUUUAUUUCCCCUUAGAAGCCCCUUUGUUUUUGUUUCACUCUCAAUUUAUGCUUUGUUUCUUUUGCUAUACUGUACUAUUUUUUAUUUCCCUGGAUAUGAGGUUUUAAUCUUUGUGCUGAUUUUAAUUUUUAAUGAUAUAUUGAUGAUGUAUGGAACAAAUGCAUUUUGUAGUAGUAGUGACCGAGCCUUGAGGAUUGUAUAUGGUUAUUCCAAUCAUGAAAACAUUGGUCACCUUAACCCAGUUAGACUUACAGGUAUGUAUCCAUUCAUUCCAGAUUACAUGUGCAGAUUCGCCGACUUCCAUUGCGUGUGUAUGUAGCAUUUCUGCUACUUAUUGUUAGCUUUUUUUUUUGACACAGUUACUUAUAAUGUAUCUAAUACUUAGACGUUGAAGAAGAUAUUUCCAACUUCAUGGUUUUUGUAAUUAUAUUUUUAGUAAGUGGAUUAUUUGAUUUACUGCUAUGGUUGAAUACUAAAGCAAUUUGAGAGGAUCACUUCUGCCAAUGCUGGAGCCAUUAGUAUCAAGUGGACCACUUCUCAUGUUAUACUCCAAAAUUCCUUCAAGUAGUUAUUGUUUCAAUUAAUUGGAAACGCUAUCAUAUAUUCUUGUACAUACCCAUUGCACAUAUGGAUUGUGGUGGACUAUACUGUCGUGUUUGUUUUUCGGCUCUUGAUGUUUGUCGAUAAUGGGUUUGCUGCAAGAAUGGGUUUGUAAGCCCUUCCAACCAUUCACUUUUUAUAUAUUUAGCUGGUUUUCUUCAUUAUUACUAUGGUAGAUGAGAUGCGGAGUUACACUGUUCUGAUGUGUUUCUUUUAAUCUAUCUAAUUGAAGUUAAGCUAUAUCUAAAUGUACAAUAACCCACACUUUAUAAUCAUCGGCAGUUAAUCAUCUGCAGCUGCCUGAAGAGGAGCAGAAAUGGGGAUUUCUUAUCUGGUUACUUUUUAGCUACUAUGGACUUCUUUGCAUUGCUUGCAUGUCAGUGGGGAUGAUUGUUGCAGGAAUCAUUUUGGCUUAACCCCUUGCAGCGGUUGACUCGACGACAAGCACACCCAGUGCGUUCCCAACAGGGUAUCCCUGUGUCUGAAUAUGGGUUUCCACUUAAAUGCUCAAGACCAAUUUGUUUUUUUCCUCGAAGUAUUUUGAUGAAUACAAAUGUGGUGCAUACUCUAAGGAUAAGUUAGAUGAAGUGAAGGACGAAUGGACGAAAUAUAUGGUCACAAAUGUUAUCCCCAUGGGAAGUUGGAUAAUGUAACCGAAUAAGAAGAGUCGAGCGAUGGUAGGCGUUUCUGAGUCAAGUUAACACUAAUUAAGGAUUAUGAAGCAACAUCACAUACUAGGGAUUUUUAGAUAUUUUAUGAACUAAUUUUGACGUAAUGUUAUGUUUAACCACUCUACUAAUAUUUCUGUUUUAGUUUUUGAAUGUUUGAAGUACAUUAGUUUCUUUCGUUUGGAACUUCAAGUACUUGAAUUAAAUUUUUGAUGUAUGGAUCUUGUCACUAUUGAAUGAAUUAUAUA